rnacentral:rRNA from 1 species
CGUGAAUACGUUCCCGGGCCUUGUACACACCGCCCGUCAAGCCAUGGAAGCUGGGUGUACCUAAAGUCGGUAACCGCAAGGAGCCGCCUAGGGUAAAACUAGUGACUGGGGCU